rnacentral:rRNA from 1 species
GUGUCAGCCGCCGCGGUAAUACGUAGGGUGCAAGCGUUAAUCGGAAUUACUGGGCGUAAAGCGUGCGCAGGCGGUUAUGUAAGACAGAUGUGAAAUCCCCGGGCUCAACCUGGGACCUGCAUUUGUGACUGCAUAGCUAGAGUGCGGCAGAGGGGGAUGGAAUUCCGCGUGUAGCAGUGAAAUGCGUAGAUAUGCGGAGGAACACCGAUGGCGAAGGCAAUCCCCUGGGCCUGCACUGACGCUCAUGCACGAAAGCGUGGGGAGCAAACAGGAUUAGAAACCCCAGUAGUCC